CUUGUGCUGCAGGGUCCUGGUGCAGACACAGCUGUGCAGUGCCCUGCAAACACAGAGACCUCGCCAGCCUGAAGCAUGGACUGGUUGAAUGGGUCUCAUGUGGGACAGAUAGGAUGGGGUAGGCCUGUUUUCUUGGGGAUGACAAGUUGAACUUCUCUCUUUCUGUCCGCAGGUCCCUUAGCAGGCUGAGAAGGGAGGGCAGGAGGCCUCACGGACACCACAGCCACUGGGACAAGGGUUUGCGGGGCAAGAGUAGUGUCGAGGCAAAGGUAAAGGGGCUGGAAGCCCGAACAGCAGGCACCAGUUGCAGUUUGUUUGUCAGGCGCGCAGAAUGAGGACGAGACUGCAGAGCUGUUGCUGAUGCACAGGAUACAAUGGCCACAGCAGAUCAGAGCUGACGGAGCCAAACCGGAAAAGCAGUGGGGACAGCAAUGCCUGCAAGCACAGGGAGGAGCAGCCAAGAGAAGCUGUCCCAGUGCAGAAGCUCUCUUGGGCUGGUGCAUGUGGCUACCCAGGCUUCUGGGAUGGUAUUU
rnacentral:lncRNA from 1 species